AUACGGAGGGAGCAAGCGUUAUUCGGAAUCACUGGGCGUAAAGGACGCGUAGGAGGGUUUGUAAGUCAGGUGUGAAAUCCUACAGCUCAACUGUAGAACUGCACUUGAAACUACAGACCUAGAGUAUGGAAGGGGCAGAUGGAAUUAGUGGUGUAUGGGUAAAAUCCGUAGAUAUCACUAGGAAUACCGAAAGCGAAGGCGAUCUGCUGGGACAUUACUGACGCUGAGGCGUGAAAGCGUGGGGAGCAAACAGGAUUAGAAACCCUAGUAGUCC
rnacentral:rRNA from 1 species